CUUGGUAGCUUCGAUUGGAGUCUAUCUAGUCCAACUACAAAAAUGUUUGUUGACCUCUUUCUUUGUGUCAACGACCAAGCUGAUGAUACUUUUCUCUGCUGCUACCUCAUGGACUUGUCUCUCCUCGACCGAGAUUGCUCUCAGCGUUACCCAUCUAUCCUAGCCGCCGCUUGUGCCUUCUUGGCUCAGUUCAUGCUUCAUCCGGGUGCAAAACCUCAAGCGGUAUUUAAAAAUCAUAUGUUGCUCACACUUGUUCAUUUUUUUAGGUUAUUCCAUAACAUUCGUGUCUUUCUUAUAGGUAAUUCCAUGGGAUUACAAAAUUAGUGACUUGCAAACCAAGGUUGUACUUCUACGAGACAUAAUUCUUCAGAGACGUUUCGUCAACACUCGCACAAAAUACAUGUCUGCACAGGUAAAGAAAACAAAAAAAAUAUUCAUUGUGUAAAUGGUAACCUAACAAAACCCAUUAAAUUGAAAUCUGUUUUUCUUUUUAUAGUUUCAGAUGGUUGCUAACCUUGGAUGCGGAGACAACAUUCCAGAGGACUAUUUCUCAUAGUCAGUCCACAUAUUAUAGUGCUAUGACAUAUUAUACGUAUAUACACUAGCCAUAUAUACUACAUAUUGUAUUGGUUACAACAUAUUACGUAUUGUACUGAUUACAACAUAUUACAAGGUAUUGUAUUGAUUACACAUAUUAUUACGUAAUAAACAAUGGCUUUUAAAUCUAAUAUAUAGUUAUGUCAAUAUUUUUUUUUUUAUGCUGAAGACCGAAGAGAGAACUCUUACACUUUGGGUGGGUAGCUAGAACUUUAGUAGCACUAAAAUGUUCUUGUUUUAACCAUGCUAGCAAAGAAUGCACUAAAAUCUUUCAAACCAUACAGAAAUCUGAAUGCUGAGAGGUCCCGCUUUCAUAAUCCUUUUGAUGUCUUGAUGGAGUUGAUCUAAAACCGAGCUGUUGAGUCAGAAUAUUUUGAGACUUGAGGUGGAGAAGCAGCCUACGAAACUCAAAAUCCACAGCUUUAAUCUAUAAUGGCAGUUCUUAAUAACGAUAUCCUUGACCAUGAUUCUGAUCAAGAACGGCAGCAACAGCUUCCUUGGACUCCUUCAACAGCUUGAUACUAUUCUUAAGCUUCUCCCUCUUGCACGCCACAGACGGAGACUCAUCAAGCAUCUUCUCAACGUCUCCUCCUCCGCCCAAUUCCCCAACAAUCUCCUUCUGAAACUGACUGUUAACAAGAUUCUUCACAGUGAACUGAAGGUAAAGCGUAAAGCUAUCCACAAUCCUCCUUACGACGAUGGACCAGUAGGCCGUCAUGCUAACCUUCAUGUCGAACGCUUGAUGCAGCAACUGGGACGGAUACUUCCUCAGAUGCGUAAUCGAAACAGUUCCAAAUCCAGCUAAAGUUAAGGAUGAUUGAUUCGAGCUAACAGCAUUCACGAAGUUAGCUUGCGCAGCGAUCUUCUGCGUGCACACGGUGGUGUACUCAGGGUUGCAUGUGUACUCCGUCAGUUUCUCCAUUUCGAUCACUCUUGUCACGGACUGUUCUUUGAUCUUAGAGAUUAGCCUCCUACAAGCUCGUUAGAUGGAAGGCUGAAUCUGAGAGAAGUUUUCAGAGUAUUUGUUGAUGACUGAUGAGAGAACAACUUCAACGUAGUCCCAUAUCUCUCUCAUGAACUCGACCGGCCUAGCAUGUAUUGCAUCAAGGCGUUUUGUUAGGAUGGAUACGAAGGCUGAUCUUGGUAUGAAAUUAGGCAACCCUAUACAUUUGCACUCUUCGAGAACCUUGAUUUCAUCCAUCAAUCUUGGAGAGGAAUGGAUGUUUCUUGAAAAGCUCCUCUUCUUUCUCUCUAGCUUCUUGAUACGUCUCGUCGCCUACGCGGUUCCUGACACAGACGUAACCGAGAGUCCGAUGUUCACGUCGUCUGCCGUGACUUUCUCCAGGAGCCCUUUAGGUUGCACAGAGUCCUUUCCCCUUUCUUGUCAACUUGCUUGGACAUGCGUAUGGACUCACAGGUUGAGAAGUCGCAUGUAGCUGCCAGAACGUUGAGAAUGAUUGACUCCUGUGGCUCGAUGUAUUUCUUUAUCAUCGCGGAUACUUGUUCAUAUAUGUCUUCAGGUUGAUCUUUGACGGGGUUACGAGUAAUCCCAGGGAGAUCAACCAUUGUCAGAUCAGGAACACUCUGCCUUCUUACAUAGAGCUCGAGAGGAGUGUCUGAGACGCCUUCCCCAGUUCCUGCAAAAUGGGUAUAUUUUACAAUUUUAAUCAUAAUCACAAACUAGGAGUAGCAUAACAUAUAUAUAUAUAUAUAUGAUGUUAUAUUAAAUAUGUACACAUUUAGUUUUAAUUCAAAACUUACCAGCAAUAGCCUCAGUUGCUUUGCAUAUAUCUUCAGUGAUGUGUUCCUCAUCUGUAGAAUAAGACUUAUCACCGUACUUGAGCCAGAUCUUAGGUUCGGGGCUAGAACUCCGCUGAAGCCUCAUCACAAGAGGAACCCUAGUGCAUAUUUUAUCAGCUGCACGAGGCAAACUGAUUCCUGCCAGGGACUCGAGAACACUGGACUUUCCAGAGGAUUGGUCUCCAGCCACAACAAUAGUGGGAAGCUGGAUCCCUUCUUUCAUCACAUUCAGGUUCCUCAGCCUGUCCACAGUGUCAAGCAACGGCCUGAUGUGGUCAUUGUAGGAAGAUACAAUCGGCGCUUGAAUUGGAACAUUGUUGGUAAUUGCAAGAGAAGACAACCCCGCAUCGAUAUUAUUAUCACACACUUCGGACAUCAUACUGCCUCCCAUUUCGCUUUAGAUAUAAAAAGAUGGAGAGAAAGUAGGAAAUAUAAUGAGACAGAGAAAAUAACUUUUUGGUUGAUGAAAUCUUGUUUGGUGAUAAACAGAUAUAUAUUGUGAGGCUUACGGUGACGUUUGGUGUUUCAAGAACUAGAAGUCUGAAAGUUAUGUCCAUGGUUUUUAGUGCAAGAGUAAAAUGUAAAUCGAUCUUUACAACUUCUUCCAUCUAAGUUGAUCCGAAAUUAAUACUAUGAAAAGUCACCAUAUUCUCCCAUUCUUUAUACUUUGAACUCCUUGGAAAAGGUGAAAGAUAGUAACACAUUAAUGAUCCAUAUAUAAACGUAUGAGUUGUGUAUAUAAUUGUGGAUGAAUAACAAGAAGAUAGUAAAGUUUAGAACCUACGUCACAACUCUUUUUCUUCCUCUGGACAACGUCCAAACAUGAUGAAACAAAAAUCAACAACAAAUCAAAGCUUACAAUGCCAGUCACAAUUCACGAUACCGUUUCAUGAAUCUCUAGACAUAGCGUUAAGCAUAAUAGAUAGGUUACUGUUACUAGGCCUGUCAGUUGGGUUGGACCACACCCAAAUGGGUAUGUUCAACUGGGUGUUUUUUUUUCUGGGCUUAAAACACCUACACCCAUAUUUAGCCCACACCCAACAACACCCAUACCCAAUAACACCCAUCACCCAACUGGACACCCAAGUCCACCCAUUUAUAAGCAAUUUAAGUAUUGACCCAAAUCUGUUUUUUUUUAACACAUGCCCAAAUCUGUUUAAAUUCAAUUUAAACUCAUUUUAAAUAUUAAACAACAUUGAAAUAUGAUAGAAAUAUCCAAAAUUGAGUAGUAAAAUUUUGAAACUUUAAACAACAUUGAAAAUUUUGAAAAUCUGAAACAAUCUUAAAUGACUUAAGUUUUUAACAACACUGUUUAUGAAUUCACUUCAUACAACUCAUCGUGUUUCUGAAUCCAAAACAAAACGAUAUUCUAAACGAUUCAUCAUCAUCAGAGCUAGAGUAAACAAUGGAAACGAGAUUCAUCAUCAUCACAAAAUCCACAACGGAGAUUCAUCAUAAUACAAAACGAGAUUCAUCACAAAACCCACAACAGAGAUUCAUCAUCAUCGUCAUAAUAACUCGAGAUCGAAGCUAAAACUCAAAGUUAACCCGAGAUCGAAGCUAAAAACUCAAAGU